UAAAGUGCACUACGUGUAGUGUAUGCAAGUACUUACGAAUAAGCAUCGGCUAAUUCCGUGCCAGCAGCCGCGGUAAUACGGAAGAUGCAAGUGUUAUCCGGAUUUAUUGGGUUUAAAGGGUGUGUAGGUGGUCUAAUAAGUCAGUGGUGAAAUCUCUUUGCUUAACAAGGAAAUUGCCAUUGAAACUGUUAGACUUGAGAAUGGACGAGGUAGGCGGAAUUCGUAGUGUAGCGGUGAAAUGCAUAGAUAUUACGAAGAACUCCAAUAGUGUAGACUGCUUACCAGGCCAUAUCUGACACUAAGGCACGAAAGUGUGGGUAUCAAACAGGAUUAGAUACCCUGGUAGUCCACACAGUAAACGAUGAAUACUAACUGUUUGCGAUAUACAGCAAGUGGUCGAGCGAAAGCGUUAAGUAUUCCACCUGGGAAGUAUGCCGGCAACGGUGAAACUCAAAGGAAUUGACGGGGGCCCGCACAAGCGGAGGAACAUGUGGUUUAAUUCGAUAAUACGCGAGGAACCUUACCCGGGCUCGAACGAUAUUUGAAUACAUCCGAAAAGAUGUAGCUAGCAAUAGCAAAUACCGAGGUGCUGCAUGGUUGUCGUCAGCUCGUGCCGUGAGGUGUCGACUUAAGUGUCAUAACGAGCGCAACCCUUACCGAUAGUUACCAUCAGAUAAUGCUGGGGACUCUAUUGGGACUGCCACCGUAAGGUGUGAGGAAGGAGAGGAUGACGUCAAAUCAGCACGGCCCUUAUGUCCGGGGCGACACACGUGUUACAAUGGGAGAAACAAAGGGUCGCUACCUGGCAACAGGAUGCUAAUCUCGAAAAUCUCUCUCAGUUCGGAUUGGAGUCUGCAACUCGACUCCAUGAAGCUGGAUUCGCUAGUAAUCGCACAUCAGCCAUGGUGCGGUGAAUACGUUCCCGGGCCUUGUACACACCGCCCGUCAAGCCAUGGAAGCUGGAAGUACCUGAAGUAUGUAACUGAAAGGAGCGUCCUAAGGUAGUCAN
rnacentral:rRNA from 1 species